rnacentral:lncRNA from 10 species
UGAGGGGGCCCCCUCUCCAGAGCCCAGCCUGGAGGACCCUGCUUUGUCUGCAUGUGAGAUACUCAGCACAGCUCAGUUGAAUGGCCAAGUCUGAUAAUACACUCCAGCUAGAGCCCCUAAAAAACCCAGUCCUGGAGUGUCACUGCCCAGAAUUGACCCUGAACUGGGAGCUGCUGAGUUGACUGAGUGCUGACUUUCCUGCUCAGCCUAUCCAUGCCCCAAACCCAUUUUGGAGAGAGCAGGUGAUGUAAACAGCCACGCUCAGUGGUGUGCGCCUGUGUUACUAUCAGUUUAUUAAUUCCUUGGUCAAACGGCCCAGUAGUGUGGAACAAGACUUAUAAAUUUGUUCACAGGUUUGAUUUAUGUGGGUUAAUUUGAUUUUAACUCAAGAAAAUGUUUCUUGACUCCCUCCUGAGAAUGAAUUAGUAUUACAAUAUGGCACUGGUUGCUAUGCUUAAAUCAGUAUAGAUCCAUUACAGUGCUGGCCAAUCCAAACACCGUAUCUAGAGGGCCUCCAGAAUGGCACUUUUCCUGCAUUUUAACCAGUAUUCGUUAGCUUAUAAAGGGUUUAGUCUAUAAAGCAGCAGGGGCCCAGAUUUCUGUGCAGCUAGUUGCAAGUAAAGGAAAGUGUUUCCUUAGGGGCAGUUUUGUUCUGAAGUGACCUUCCAAAUCUGAUGUAUAAAGUGAGGCCUACAGAGUAUUGUGAGGCUUGGAGUUUUUAACUGUUUUAUUAAGGAAGACUUUUUUUUUUUUUUUUGAGACGGAGUUUCACUCUUGUUGCUCAGG